AUGGACCCCAAAAGCUCUCUAAAUUUUAGGCCGCCUCCACUCCACUUGGCCGGCGCUCUCGUCGCCUCCCUUUGUCCACAGGAUUUGUCUAUGGCUCCAGUGAAAACGGAUGGGAACACCAGAGGAGGUGGAUGUUCUAAAGCAUUGAAGAGCUACAAUCUGGGAAAAACAUUAGGUGGGGGCACAUUUGGAAAAGUGAUGAUUGUAGAGCAUAAGCUUACAGGACACAAAGUUGUUAUAAAGAUUCUGAACCAUAGUAAAAUGAAAGCUAUGGAAAUGGAAGAGAAAGGUGCCUCCUUCUCCUUGUACAAUAGUGUAGGAUACAUUUAA
rnacentral:rRNA from 1 species